CAAUAGCGUAUAUUAAAGUUGUUGCAGUUAAAAAGCUCGUAGUUGGAUUUCUGGCAGGAGCGACCGGUCCGCCGCAAGGUGUGCACUAGGUUGUCUCCAGUCAUCUUUGUGGGAACUGCUCUGGCAUUAGGUUGUCGGGGUUAGGGAACACAUCGUUUACUGUGAAAAAAUUAGAGUGUUUAAAGCAGGCUUAUGCCGUUGAAUACAUUAGCAUGGAAUAAUAAGAUAGGACUUUGGUGGUCUAUUUUGUUGGUUUGCACACCAAGGUAAUGAUUAAUAGGGAUAGUUGGGGGUAUUCGUAUUUAAUUGUCAGAGGUGAAAUUCUUGGAUUUAUGAAAGACGAACUACUGCGAAAGCAUUUACCAAAGAUGUUUUCAUUAAUCAAGAACGAAAGUUAGGGGAUCGAAGACGAUCAGAUACCAU
rnacentral:rRNA from 1 species